rnacentral:tRNA from 1 species
GGACAAGUAAGCUAAAUUAAGCUAGUGGGCUCAUGCCCCAUUGAUAGGUUUGACCUCUUUUCCA